rnacentral:rRNA from 1 species
UGUUGAAGUUUUGAAGUUGUUUUCUACUAAAAGAAAUCUUGUGUUGACUGAAUUAGUUUAAAAAAAUAUUUGUUUGUGUUUGCAUCCACUGGGAGAACUCCCUCCCGAAAGAGAGCGUUCCCCCAACGAACAAAAGAAUAGUAGUAAAGUAAACUCCACUGUGUGUAGUAAUUAGAAAGUGUCGAGUCGUGUGAUAAAACACCUCCUUUGGAAUAGAGAGAUCCACGCACACUCCCAGGUCUUUGUCGGCUCCCUCCCCCCACUGCAGAACACCCACCAACCGCGCACUUAAGCGCAGGCAGGAGAAAUAGCAUUCACAGCAGAGAAAACAUUUUAGGAGCCUCCUGAGUGUCUACACUGGUCCUCCCCAGAGAUGUCUCUCUCCGAGCUCAGACAAAUCAAUUAAAUUUCUUUAAUGAUCCUUCCGCAGGUUCACCUAAAUCGAAUUCC